CCUAAAUAUCUAACCUACCCUACCCCUAACCACCCCCAAACCUCCCAAAACCCCUUUCCCCUCACUAACUCACGCUAUAUCAGCCCACACCACACACACAACUCACAUAUUCACACACACAACACCUAAAACACACACUACACACGCCAUUUUCCAUUUAAGCUUGGACGGAGCUUUUGACCUCCGAUUUGAGCACCGAGACGAGCGCCGAUCAUCUUUUCGAUCACGUAUCUAAGUAGGUCCUUUUGGGAAGUAACGACUUGAGGGAGAGAGUGACGUUACUCAUUGAUACAGAGACACAACGAGGUUGAGCUGAUGUGAUGAUGGUGCUGCAAUGAGCGGAGUCUCCAGGGUUGUUAAUAAAUAGUUAACCUGUCUAGAAUAUGUCUUCAUACAUAUGUCUAGCUACUUUCCGCUGCAAGAUGUUGUUGAUGUUAUAGUAUGUUAUGUCAUACUUUGAGUCUUAAGAGAAUGGUUUCAUAUGAUGUAUAACUUGAUUAAUGAUAUUAAUUAAGUUUUAUGCUGUCUUUCAUAGACUGUUUUCAAUUGAGUAUUAAUGAAUAAAAAUGACGAGUUUUAUUAA